UAGAGACUUUUUCUUCUUCUUCCACUCUUCCAUGGAAGUGGUCGGGAGAAAGCUUUGUCUAAGAGCUCUCAGCUCACAAUCACAUGACCAAGAACACUGAAGACGUUAAUGCUGGUGUUGUGGAUAGCAUGCCUAAAACUGAAUGACGUUGGAGGAUGACUUCCUUUGGUUUUGUAGUGGAUCAGUGGGCAGCAUGCAAAGGGAAGUUGGAAAAUACUCUUUACUUCUUAGCUGUUUCAAAUAAGGUAUUUGUUCAAAAUAACAGAGGGUGGAUGGACAAGUUUUGCAAAGUUCAGUCAUCCUCUGCCGUCACGUAGUGCCGCUGUCCUGGAAGUACACU